rnacentral:sRNA from 1 species
UUAAGGACAGCACUGACCUCAGGGUCAU